UACAGAGGUCUCGAGCGUUGUUCGGAUUCAUUGGGCGUAAAGGGUGCGUAGGCGGCGCGGUAAGUCGGGUGUGAAAUCUUGGAGCUUAACUCCGAAACUGCAUUCGAUACUGCCGUGCUUGAGGACUGGAGAGGAGACUGGAAUUUACGGUGUAGCGGUGAAAUGCGUAGAUAUCGUAAGGAAGACCAGUGGCGAAGGCGGGUCUCUGGACAGUUCCUGACGCUGAGGCACGAAGGCCAGGGAGCAAACGGG
rnacentral:rRNA from 1 species